UCUCUUUCCCACCGUUUUAUAGUAGCCAUAAAAAUGUCUAGUCAGCACUCCAUUGUAACCUUCGCAAGCGUUUUAUGGCCUAAGGCGAAGUGGGACUUGAGCAGAGCUCGGACAAAAUUAUGGCCGUGCGGAAAGUUUUAUAGGCCGGGUUUUAUGGUCGAAAGGGAGGGGUAAAACGCACUUUGACAGCAAACUGGCCUCGAAUAUUUACGGCUAUCCGGGAGUCUUGAAAAGCGAUGCCCGCUCCUGGAGCGCUCUCAGACGGGGUGAGCCAUCCCCACUAGUCGGACCAGAUGGUCUACGGCGCCCAAAACGACAAAAUCUCGUUUCGUUUUUCCGUACAACAAAAGGAGUAACAUCUGGAUUGGAUUCUCGACUACAUUAUCUACGGAGGAAUAGUUAAGUGAUUCUACAGAUUAGUUUUUUCCCCCCACCCCUCCCCAUCGGUUUGGAUCGUACAGCGGAAUUGGAAACCCGACAGGCUCAUAAGUGACUGAUGAUUUCUCCCCUUUCAAUGAAUUUUUGAGAAGCCAUAGUUCCGUUACUUUCUUAAGAAGAAUAUGAGAAGAGAAUGAGAGUUCAUUAGCGAUAACUGCGCCGUCGACCACCAACGGUUCGGCUAAAGCUCUCGGCGGCAUGCUGCUUUAGCUGAUCGGUGGCGAUGACGCUAACUAAUCUCGCGACUAUUAGGAUUCAUUCAUGAUGAUUGAAAUUGUUUACUGUAGAAUAGAUCAUGAAGGUAUGGUACAGAAAUAAGAAAUUGAGCUUUAAAAAUAUAUGUUAAAAUAGUGUUUAAAAUAAUACAUAAACUUCGUUACUGCCGGCGAUUAGGCUUAGCAGACGACGAAAAGUUCGCGAUCAUCGCUAAGCUGGAUUGCAUUUGGAAAACACAGAGAUCAAUCUGUCUACAAUGUGUAACAGAUGAAUCCAUUUGCAGUGGAAGUCAAGUUAUUAAAUUAACAUAACCAAAUAAAGUGAUUUCAACAAGAAAGUUCAAAGUCCUCGAAAUGUCUCCCGUUCCUACAUUAAGGUUCAGGCAUUAAGUCGUACCUUUACAAUAUCGUUUUAUAAAGGAUUUCAAGGAUUCCAUUUGUCACCAGACAGUUGAAGUCUAAAUCUUUCUUACCGAGAAUUCAAAAGAUCAAGUCUAUAUCAGUUUGAAGAUUGGAAGUCUGAGCAUUAUUCAAAGUUACCUUUACAUAACUAUUCGAGAGUGGAAUUGGGGUUUCUAAAAUCUAAAAUGAAACAAAUAAAAUGUUCUUAGUAUUAAAAAAAGUAAUAAUUUCAAUUAAAAGCUAAGAAUAAGAACAAAAGGAGUGGAAGAGGGAGUCUAUAUAAACAGAAGAAAUAGUCUUUACACAUUUUUCUGACAAUCAUUUUUUCCUAUUUUGUGUAAUAAAAGCAUAAAAGUAAUGUUUUUUUAUUUUGUUUCAGUUUAUCAUUAAUUAAGGAUUGUUAUAAAAGAAUCAA